GACGAAUCAUCUGGAAAGAUGAAUCAAAGAAGGUAAUAAUCCUGUAGUCGAAAAUGUUGUCUCUCUUGAGUGGAUCCUGAGUACGACGGAGCACGUGAAAUUCCGUCGGAAUCUGGGAGGACCAUCUCCUAAGGCUAAAUACUCUCUAGUGACCGAUAGUGAACCAGUACCGUGAGGGAAAGGUGAAAAGCACCCCGGAAGGGGAGUGAAAUAGAACCUGAAACCGUGUGCUUACAAGUAGUCAGAGCCCGUUAAUGGGUGAUGGCGUGCCUUUUGUAGAAUGAACCGGCGAGUUACGAUUUGAUGCAAGGUUAAGCAGUAAAUGUGGAGCCGUAGCGAAAGCGAGUCUGAAUAGGGCGUUUAGUAUUUGGUCGUAGACCCGAAACCAGGUGAUCUACCCUUGGUCAGGUUGAAGUUCAGGUAACACUGAAUGGAGGACCGAACCGACUUACGUUGAAAAGUGAGCGGAUGAACUGAGGGUAGCGGAGAAAUUCCAAUCGAACCUGGAGAUAGCUGGUUCUCUCCGAAAUAGCUUUAGGGCUAGCCUCAAGUGAUGAUUAUUGGAGGUAGAGCACUGUUUGGACGAGGGGCCCCUCUCGGGUUACCGAAUUCAGACAAACUCCGAAUGCCAAUUAAUUUAACUUGGGAGUCAGAACAUGGGUGAUAAGGUCCGUGUUCGAAAGGGAAACAGCCCAGACCACCAGCUAAGGUCCCAAAAUAUAUGUUAAGUGGAAAAGGAUGUGGCGUUGCCCAGACAACUAGGAUGUUGGCUUAGAAGCAGCCAUCAUUUAAAGAGUGCGUAAUAGCUCACUAGUCGAGUGACACUGCGCCGAAAAUGUACCGGGGCUAAACAUAUUACCGAAGCUGUGGAUUGUCCUUUGGACAAUGGUAGGAGAGCGUUCUAAGGGCGUUGAAGCAUGAUCGUAAGGACAUGUGGAGCGCUUAGAAGUGAGAAUGCCGGUGUGAGUAGCGAAAGACGGGUGAGAAUCCCGUCCACCGAUUGACUAAGGUUUCCAGAGGAAGGCUCGUCCGCUCUGGGUUAGUCGGGUCCUAAGCUGAGGCCGACAGGCGUAGGCGAUGGAUAACAGGUUGAUAUUCCUGUACCACCUAUAAUCGUUUUAAUCGAUGGGGGGACGCAGUAGGAUAGGCGAAGCGUGCGAUUGGAUUGCACGUCUAAGCAGUAAGGCUGAGUAUUAGGCAAAUC
rnacentral:rRNA from 1 species